GUGACUGACGUGCUCGUACGUGAAUAUGGAGAGUUUGCCCGUGAAGUCGGUGAGCGAAGUGGUCUAGAUGUGAGGACCAAUUUUUUUUGAGCGCAAGGACGUGUGACGUAGAGUGAACUAUGACCCUGUUUUGGGGGUGUUGUGCUUGAAAGGCGAGUUCGAUGGCCUUGUCCACUGAGAGAGGAAGGUGGUUUAGGAAACGUGAUCGAAUUGAGGCCGUAGUGUGGGCCUUGUGACCUG